rnacentral:rRNA from 1 species
AUUGAACGCUGGCGGCAGGCCUAACACAUGCAAGUCGAACGGUAACAGGAAGAAGCUUGCUUCUUUGCUGACGAGUGGCGGACGGGUGAGUAAUGUCUGGGAAACUGCCUGAUGGAGGGGAUAACUACUGGAAACGGUAGCUAAUACCGCAUAACGUCGCAAGACCAAAGAGGGGGACCUUCGGGCCUCUUGCCAUCGGAUGUGCCCAGAUGGGAUUAGCUAGUAGGUGGGGUAACGGCUCACCUAGGCGACGAUCCCUAGCUGGUCUGAGAGGAUGACCAGCCACACUGGAACUGAGACACGGUCCAGACUCCUACGGGAGGCAGCAGUGGGGAAUAUUGCACAAUGGGCGCAAGCCUGAUGCAGCCAUGCCGCGUGUAUGAAGAAGGCCUUCGGGUUGUAAAGUACUUUCAGCGGGGAGGAAGGGAGUAAAGUUAAUACCUUUACUCAUUGACGUUACCCGCAGAAGAAGCACCGGCUAACUCCGUG